rnacentral:lncRNA from 1 species
UCAAAUGGUCUGAAUUCACAAUAAUGAUUAUUUUGAUGAUAAAAAGUUAAAAACACAUCAUAGAAAAAGAUGAUUUUAUGAGAUGAAAAAUUUCAACAUAAAUAAAACUUGGUGAAAAUAUUGGCUUGAUAAGAUCUUAUUAGCUCCUCAUGUUUGCUCGUGGUCACAACAAUUAAAUAUUUAAAGCUUGGUGAAAAUAUUGGGCGUGUAAAGAAGAUAGAAUCUUUCGCAAGACGGUGUCGCACAGGAGAGGAUCUGGACCCUUUAUGAUAUAAAAGUAAUAAUGUAUUUGUCCAAAUAUAUAUGAUGAUACAUGAGAUGCGAUUAGGUGCAUGCCGUUGCACGUGUUAUUGUGUGUAACGAACCACGUGCUACUUAAUUCAUAAUUUUCUCUCAUUUUCACCCUCAGCCAGUGAGACAGAGACACAUUACCCAUCACUCUUUUCUCUUUCACUCGCGUCACUACCGAUUCAUGAAUUAUGAAGAAAUAAAGGUUAGUUUUAAAUUUAUCAAAUACCUAUCGAUUGAUUUGAUUUCUUUGCAUACAUUAGUUCAAUGUAUAUUAAAUUUUUUAUUAACAGAAUCAGAAAUAAAUAAAAAAUAAUAAUCCCUCAAUAAAUACAAAUAUAUUAUUAUUGUAAUAAUCCUUACGCAAAUAUAUUAUUAUCCCUCAAUAAAUAAAAAUAAUAAUCCUUACGCAAAAAUGCAUUAAAACGACAGAAAUAUUGAAUAAUUUAUUAUUUUUAGGAAGACAAUGUGACAUUGAAACUUCUUUACACAUUGAAAAAGGACAUUAGAGAUGAAAUUCAAGAUGAUAAAGUUUCAAGAAAAUAGACAAACAACAUUAGAACCAUAUUUUUUUAUGGAAGCCUCCAAAUUGUUGAAAAUCAGUUCAUUAUUAAUUUACAUGAAAAGUGUGUACGAUUUAAAAGAAUAAUAAUUAAUAAUGUAUUAUUUAUUGAUUUAUGGCUGCAAAUUAGAACUAAUAAAAAUUAUUAUUUAAUUGAAAUUAUUCAUUUAUUUAGCAGAUUUAUAAGAGAAUUAAAAAAAAUUGUUAAAAAAAAUAGAUUUGCAGGAACAUCCACGUACCUCUGAAAAUAAUACUUGCCGUACAAUUAAUUAAGAGUAACGCUAAGUAUCCUAACAUAUAAGUCUCAAUUUGAGUCCUAACUAAUAUGAGGUGAUUAAGUAAUUUUACUAGUUAUAAAAAUAAAAUCUAUCAUCUAAUAUUUGAGUGACACAUAGCAUUAAGGCCCCGUUUGAGAUUGCUUUUGGGAGGGUUAAAAGUUAUUUUAAAACUCUAAAAGCUAAUUUUGGUGUUUGGUAAAAAAAAAAAUUGAAAUCACUUUUGCUAGAAUCAGCUCCUCCUACAGCUGAUUUUGAAAAGCAGGGAAUGAGUAACUUUUAAAUUCUGAUUUUGAGAAUCAAUUUUAUCCUUUAAUAUAAUUCCAUAAAUAUCCUUAUAAUUAUUACUUAAACCCGAAAUUAUCCUUAUUUAAAUUGGAAAUAAAAUUAAUAUUUUAAUAAUUUUUUAUUAUAAUUAACGUACACCUUUCGUUUACCCUCUUUCUUCAUAUUUUGUGUUCUAUCAAAACUUCUCUAGUGCAACAAAGCAAGAUCCAGUACGUGUUCCAUCACCAUAUUCAAUAACAGUAAGUGAUUCAUCACCCCUUUCAUGCAUAUUCAAUGUAAUUUUUAUUAUAAUAUUUAUUAUUUGUCUUAUUUGGGUUUGUUUAUAUAUAAACAAUUCUAUGCCUAUGCAAUUUUUAUUAAAAUAUUAAUUGUUUGUCUUAUUUGGAUUUUCCUUCAACUAUCAAGACGCUUCGCUUUCUCCGUAAGAAUAGUUUGUGUAACUAAAUAUAUAGUGCACAAAUCUAUAGAAAGUGCUACGUUUAUGCUGCUUGACAAGAAAUUAAUAUGCCAAUUCCACAUUUAUAUAUAAAAAAAAAAAUUUGUUUGAUUCAACGAGAUAUUGUACGUGUACAUUUUUAUAUGUAUAAGUAAAUUUCAUCCUACAUUAUGUAUAUUUUAGUCAUUUAUUUUCUUACACCAGUUUAACAAUAAGAUUUACCAAAUACUCAUAACUGCUUUCAAAUUUCACAGUACUUUGGAAAAUAAAAUUUACCAAACACUUAACUGAUUUUCUUCACAGCUGAUUAUUUCUACAGCACAACUAACAACAAUUAUUUUAAAAGCUGCAGCAUUACCAAACUGGCCCUCAGACUCAAGUUAAGACUCAAAUAGUAAAAUCCUAUCAUUAUUGAUUAAUUAUUAUCCAAAUAAUGGAAAAUAAUGUGCAUUAAAUAGGAAAAUGGAAACUAUUUUAUAUGAUUAACACGUGUCACUCUUCUACAAGUCCCAACUAAGCAUAUUCCAUAUCUUUCCUACAUAUUCCUUACCUCAGAGGAGGUGAGAAAAGAUCUUGCAAAAAUAUCUUUAUCCUUUUUAUUUUAUUUAUAUAUUUAUUUAAUAUAAUUCUUAUUGUAUAUGCAUUAAUAAGAGAAGAUUUGUAAAGAAAAAAAAAUCAAUAAAUUAAACUUAUAAUAUUAUGAUAACUAAGCCGUUUUGGACGAUAUAUUUAACU